rnacentral:lncRNA from 1 species
AUUUUAUAUUUAUUAAUUUGUUCUCACUUCAUUUACACAAUUUUCAUGAUACUUUUUAUAAAAUUUUUUAUUUAUAUGAAAAAUCCUAGCGUAUAUGAAAAUGCCCUCAUCUGGUAUAUAAACUGCUAUAAUAUAUUUUUUUGUUCCUCUAAUUGGACCAUUGCAAGUGUGUUGCAAUUCUGGACUCAAUGUCACUUACCAAUGUAUAAAGUAGGCUUGGCUGCAAUUUACCAGAAAAGGGAGUGGCUGCUGUAAAGAAGUAAAAGUGUCGUGCCCUUUUAAAUGGCCUGAAGGUGUUUACGUUUUGUUUUUCAAAAUUUUCUCCCAAAUUUCGAUUUAAAUUAA